rnacentral:rRNA from 1 species
CCUACGGGAGGCAGCAGUGGGGAAUAUUGCACAAUGGGGGAAACCCUGAUGCAGCGACGCCGCGUGAGUGAAGAAGUCUUUCGGUAUGUAAAGCUCUAUCAGCAGGGAAGAAAUAAAGUCCUUCGGACUUUGGACGGUACCUGACUAAGAAGCCCCGACUAACUAUGUGCCAGCAGCCGCGGUGAUACGUAGGGGGCAAGCGUUAUCCGGAUUUACUGGGUGUAAAGGGAGCGUAGACGGCAGCGCAAGUCUGGAGUGAAAGCCCAGGGCUUAACCAUGGAACUGCUUUGGAAACUGUGCAGCUGGAGUGCAGGAGAGGUAAGCGGAAUGCCUAGUGUAGCGGUGAAAUGCGUAGAGAUGAGGAGGAACACCAGUGGCGAAGGCGGCUUACUGGACUGUAACUGACGUUGAGGCUCGAAAGCGUGGGGAGCAAACAGGAUUAGAUACCCGGGUAGUC